rnacentral:rRNA from 1 species
CCUACGGGGGGCAGCAGUAGGGAAUCUUCCGCAAUGGACGAAAGUCUGACGGAGCAACGCCGCGAGAGCGAAGAAGGUCUUCGGAUCGUAAAGCUCUGUUGUUAGGGAAGAACAAGAACGGGAGGAAAUGACCGUAGCUUGACGGUACCUAAAGAGGAAGCCACGGCUAACUACGUGCCAGCAGACGCGGUACUACGAAGGUGGCAAGCGCUGUCCGGAACUAGUGGGCGUAAAGCGCGCGCAGGCGGUAUUUUAAGUCUGAUGUGAAAUCUUGCGACUAAACCGCAAGAGCUCAUUGGCAACCGGUAGAAUUGAGUGCAGAAGAGGAAAGCGGAAGUCCACGUGUAGCGGUGAAAUACGUAGAGAUGUGGAGGAACACCAGUGGCGAAGGCGGCUAUCUGGUCUGUAACUGACGCUGAGGCGCGAAAGCGUGGGGAGCAAACAGGAUUAGAUACCCUGGUAGUC